UACGUAGGGCGCAAGCGUUAUCCGGAAUUAUUGGGCGUAAAGAGCUCGUAGGCGGUUUGUCGCGUCUGCUGUGAAAACGCGAGGCUUAACCUCGCGCCUGCAGUGGGUACGGGCAGACUAGAGUGCGGUAGGGGAGACUGGAAUUCCUGGUGUAGCGGUGGAAUGCGCAGAUAUCAGGAAGAACACCUAUGGCGGAAGCAGCUCUCUGGGACGGUACUGACGCUGAGACGCGAAAGCGUGGGGAGCGAACAGG
rnacentral:rRNA from 1 species